rnacentral:rRNA from 1 species
CCUACGGGAGGCUGCAGUGAGGAAUAUUGGUCAAUGGGCGCGAGCCUGAACCAGCCAAGUAGCGUGAAGGAUGACUGCCCUACGGGUUGUAAACUUCUUUUAUAAAGGAAUAAAGUGAGGCACGUGUGCCUUUUUGUAUGUAUUUUAUGAAUAAGGAUCGGCUAACUCCGUGCCAGCAGCCGCGGUAAUACGGAGGAUCCGAGCGUUAUCCGGAUUUAUUGGGUUUAAAGGGAGCGUAGAUGGGUUGUUAAGUCAGUUGUGAAAGUUUGCGGCUCAACCGUAAAAUUGCAAUUGAUACUGGCAGCCGUGAGUACAGUUGAGGUAGGCGGAAUUCGUGGUGUAGCGGUGAAAUGCUUAGAUAUCACGAAGAACUCCGAUUGCGAAGGCAGCUCACUGGACUGCAACUGACACUGAGGCUCGAAAGUGUGGGUAUCAAACAGGAGUAGAUACCCUGGUAGUC